CCUACGGGUGGCAGCAGUGAGGAAUAUUGGUCAAUGGGCGUAAGCCUGAACCAGCCAAGUCGCGUGAAGGAUGAAGGUUCUACGGAUUGUAAACCUCUUUUAUAAAGGAAUAAAGUGCGGCACGUGUGCCUUUUUGUAUGUACUUUAUGAAUAAGGAUCGGCUAACUCCGUGCCAGCAGCCGCGGUAAUACGGAGGAUCCGAGCGUUAUCCGGAUUUAUUGGGUUUAAAGGGUGCGUAGGUGGGUUUUUAAGUCAGCGGUGAAAGUCUGGGGCUCAACCGUAGAAUUGCCGUUGAAACUGGCAGGCUUGAGUACGGUUGAGGUAGGCGGAAUUCGUGGUGUAGCGGUGAAAUGCUUAGAUAUCACGCAGAACUCCGAUUGCGAAGGCAGCUUACUAAGC
rnacentral:rRNA from 1 species